CCUACGGGUGGCAGCAGUGGGGAAUAUUGCACAAUGGGGGAAACCCUGAUGCAGCGACGCCGCGUGAGUGAAGAAGUAAUUCGUUAUGUAAAGCUCUAUCAGCAGGGAAGAAAAUGACGGUACCUGAGUAAGAAGCCCCGGCUAACUACGUGCCAGCAGCCGCGGUAAGACGUCGGGGGCAAGCGUUAUCCGGAUUUACUGGGUGUAAAGGGAGCGUAGACGGCAGUGCAAGUCUGGAGUGAAAGGCGGGGGGUCAACCCGCGGACUGCUGGGGAAACGGUACGGCUGGAGUGCAGGAGAGGUAAGUGGAAUUCCUGGUGUAGCGGUGAAAUGCGUAGAUAUUAGGAGGAACACCAGUGGCGAAGGCGGCUGACUGGACUGUAACUGACGUUGAGGCUCGAAAGCGUGGGGAGCAAACAGGAUUAGAUACCCUAGUAGUC
rnacentral:rRNA from 1 species